GGGAGUGAAUACCAAGUCUCUGUUUUCAUGGCACUUGUAUUGUAGUGGGGACAGAGAGUCAGCAAGCAAAUAAAUAAUCAAAAUAGAUACAUUAUAUAUCAAAUGGCGAUUAAAUACUAUGAAGGAAAAAUAAAGCAGGAUAAGAUGAUAGAGAGUGACAGACCUGAAUGAUGAGAAGGACCAAGAUAUGUAUUAUGUCUGGGACACAAGCAUUCUAGAGGGAAAGACAAGUGCAAAGUGAAGCAAACUAUACGUAAAGGGUUAAGAAUAGCCAGGAGAUUUGUGGGGGCCAAAGCAGAGUCAGCAAAGAGGAGAUGAGAUCCAUGGGGGAAGCAAGGGCCAGAUCUUGGAGAGCCUAGAUAGAGCCUGAGGCGAAGAGUUUGGUUUUCACGUGAUCCCUUCUGGCUACUAUGUGAAGAGACCGUCGGAGUGUAAUUGUGGAAGCAGGAAGACCAAUGAACAGCCUGUGAGAAGGCCUGUGAGGAGGCCUGUUGGGAUUAGGUGUGUGAGAGAUUCAUUAAGAGGGACACCUGGAAGGGCACAUGGAGAGGGCCCAGAAGAAUAGACAUUAAGAGCCUCCAGAAUACACUGUAGGUCUGACCCAGGUAAGGGACAGAACAGGGCAGGAAGGUUAGAGGGGGCAGUCUGAAACUACCGUGCAAUUCUAUGAAAAGUUGGCAAGGCCAACAGAGAGUCCUUGAGUUAAAGUCACCCAUCAGGGAAACCCCCCAUCUCCCAGGAAUGGGCCAGCCCCAGUGCUCCUGACUGGCCAGAAGCUGGAAACAGUCUGUGGGAAGUGCGGCCUCCAUGUGAAUUCACUGAUGGAUGGGACCACCAAUCAAGUAUCCUUCCACACUGGGAGCUCCGAGAAGCAUAUUCUCAUGACCACACGGGCUUUGCCAUAAUCCAGAAAAUUCACUUCCUUCUGGCCUGCCGCCUCCUUUUUUUGGGAAUCCCAUUGUGUGGUCUCAAGGACCCCGUUUGUUCUACAACCUAGAUCAAAACCCUUCCUGAAGAUGAAGUUGUUAAGAGAGAAGACCUGGGCUUUCUUUCAUGUAUUAGAGACUGACAAUGUUUAUAUACAGAAUUGAUUUCCUGGAAACACAGCAGCCUCAACACUUUUUAUCUGUGAAUGACAAAGAGUAACAGUUACAUUCUCACUGGAGGGCUGCUUGUGAGUGGCCAUUAAAAAAAAUGUUGACA